UCGUGUACACCGAUUCCGAGCGGGCAAACGAUAAGACUUCCUUCAGCUUCGUCCUCUCUUUCCCCCUUUAGGUAGUUGGUCCUGGUGCCGGGAAUCCGUGGUCGGUGUGCAUCAACAUCUCGUCGACCAACCUCUCUUCCAUGCUCGCUCUCUCAAGUGGGCCAAUGUGAACGGGGCUUUGUGAUGGCAUAACGAGCGUAGAGAGCCUCUCCCAUGCCCCGUGUAAUCUGGUCUUCGGGUAAUUGUACGUUAUACGUCCGGAGAGAGAGGCUAGCGAGAGUUUGCGAAAAAUCGCGGCUCAUUCGGGUACAGUCAGAAGUCCUUCCUCUCCGAUGUGGUACUCGAAGAAGACGAAGAAGACGACGAUGAAGAAUAGAGAGAGAGACAGAGAGAGAGACAAACAGACAGAAAGAGAGAAGGAUAAGAGAGGAUCGUGAGGAGAAAAGCUGCAAGGAAGAAGACAACUACGAAGGACGAUGAAGAAGAGGAAGAAGAUGAUACGAAGGAAGAGGAAGAAUAUACGUACAGCGAAGAGGUAAGAGAGAAGGAAGAGGGGAAGCCGGUGGAAGAGGUGGAUAGGAAGAGAAGGGAGAAUGGAGGAUGGAGAAGGAGAGAACAGUGUGUGAGAAUGCUAUCAGUGGACUCUUCUCGACCCGAGGACCACACCGCGAGACCACCGUGCGUGCCUUCGCCUCUCUUCGCCAAUAUAUCCGUGAUCAAACAUCGAAGCGAGUGGAUGUCUCCAAUACGCUGUUGCAAGACAAACUGUGUACAUCUAUACGAAGGGAAGCAGAAGAAGGAAGAGCGAGAUAGAGAGGCGCAAGUGCGGUAGCAGCAACGGUCAGAUAAUUUAUUAUGGCAUUACUCACUGGCGGACACCUCAAUGGCCAAUGGGGAAGCCUACGUACGUGUGGUUCUCGCUCGUGUGCCUCCUUCUCGCAUAGUUGAUAUUAUUUAGCUCGAGCCAGGGUGAACGACGAAGAACCAAGAGAGAAUAAGCAUGUGAGAGAAGGCUUCGGAAGGUGGAAGAGAAUGCACCUUAGCCGAGGCCUAAGGUCCUGCAACGCAUAGAUCAUCCUGGGCCCCGGUAUACCGGUUUCGUGUCAUGUGCAUCCAGCAUUCGGCUUCACGAAUUUGCAGACACAAGACGGAGGAGAAAGAGAAACGAUUGAGAGGGGAAGGGGUUGGCGGAGGAGCUUUCGUGGAAGCCCGCCGCGUCGAGGCUGCUUUACACGCGGAUUUCGUUAGUCAUUGAUAUGGACGAGGCCCAGCCACGACUGAGAUUAACCGACGCGCGUGUUGCGCAAUACGUCUUGUUAGCGGCCAGUCGCUGCUGCUGCUGCUGCUGCGCGACCAGAUGCACACGCCUCUUAUUCUCCCCAUGUGCAUCCGGCCUAUGUGUGUUAGAUUAACGGUGCAAGUACUGAAAGUGAGACUGUCAGAAUGACGGGCUUUCGGAUUUUUAGUUUCGCGGUUGGUAAUAGCGGGCAGGUGCUUUGCUGAAAUUUAUACGUUGAGUGUAUAUUUUAAAAGCCACGGAGAAGUAGAAGAAUUUUUUCGAGGGAGGCGAAAAGUUGUUUCUGACCUCGCCAAAGAAUUAUUCAUUAAAUUUUGAGGAACGUUUAACACUAGAACUACCACACCGGUCAAAUUGGCUGGUUUUAUAAUUUUAUCUUAAAAUUCCUACUUCAUGUUAUAUUUUUCCCCCUCAAUUAUGUAACAACUUUCGUAACAAUAAGUAAAAGACUAAUAUAAUGAAUUUUAUUUUCUUUUUCAUGUAUUCAAACUCAAAAUAACUUUGUAUCAAGGCUACUUAUACCAAUAGCAGUCAAAAUGAUUGAUACUUGUCAAAGUAUAAAAGGGUCCUGCAAUCUGUUUAUCGAACCCCAAUUAACCAGUUUUCUCAUUUAAUAUAAUGAUAUCAGAUAUUAGGCAAAUUCCGGAUCGAUUGCUAGAUCGCUAGAUGCUAACACUAGAAAUAUCACACCAGUCAAAAUGACUGGUUCUACAAUUUUAUAAACGUGCUCAUUUAGGGAUCACGGUCGCAGACGGAUUAAUAAUACCAAAAAUAUACUACAUAACAUAGAAUUCCUUCUGUAAGAAAGUAAUAAAUCAAUAAAUAUAAAAAUAUUCUAUUAUUAUUAUUUUUUUUUAAAGACCAGUUAUUUUGACUGAUUUUGGUAGAAAUAGCUUCAUGUUAACUAUCGAUAGUUCUGGUGUUAAGUUACAUUACAAGUUUGUAUGCACUUACAGGAAAUUCAGGAUUGAAAAGUAAGUGUAAUAUGGAAAAAUAUGCAAAAUAUCCAAACUACGAUAAUUAUUAUAAUUUCUAUUUAAAUCCCAUUCGUUUAAUCAGAUCUACAAAAAUCCGCAGUCUAAUAAUAUUAUGUAUUUGUUUUAACUCACUGUUUGCCUCUGUGCUUUACAUUUCCUUGCAACGCACGGAUAUUGAAAUGCGACAGUCCUAUCCUCUACACCAUAUACAAUCAAUGGCAAAGAUGCUAAACGCUCCGUCUAAACCUUUCUCAACACCACGUCAAACAAGACUUUCUUUUAUCCCGACUCAGCUUCGAUUCCCUAAUAUACAUAUGCCCUCACCCCCACCCAACGUGUCAGGAAAAAGAAGAACAAAAAUACCUCCAAGCAAAAUCAAUGAAAAGAAAAUAGUAAAACACCGUCAGCACAAAAAACUAUAUAUUACAGUAUCCCCAUCAACUUCACGAAUAGCGAAGUCAUAUAAAAAAAAAAAAAGAAGAAAAGAUUGAAGUGUGGGUGGGUUUCGAAGAAAACGUUUACGAUCUGGCGCGCGCGCUCUCUCUAUUUGUUUUUAAAAGGGACUCGUAAAAGGGACGAGUUCGGUCGGCCUGGUCGGCUGCCAUAAAAUGGCCAGUGGGUGUGAAGGGCUGACAGGUCGGGUUAUACGGACCAUCAAGGUUGCACAAUCUGUCAUACAGGGUAUGGUGGGGGCGGCAACCUGUUGCUUCAUUGUUACUCGGAGAACGUGCAUGGUAGCCGUGCGCGUAUAAACUGCCUUUCUCUAGCAGGCCGGAGCCACACAGAAGGUUGUAAUGUGUCGCGACUGUGUCGCGGCGUGUUGCACAUCCGGACCGACUCAUUUUCGCGGCGGUCGCGCGACGAGCUGCUGUUUGUCAUCGUCGUCGUCGGGCGAAAAUGCGCUUAAUUCCCUGCUUUUCUACCACUGCUGUAUAUACAUAUACGUAAGUAUGUACAUAGAGCAAGUGAAAAUGAAAUGGUGACAGAUACUCGUGAAAAGAAGCUGCUAGUAAACUGCUUUGUAUUACUUGAGCAACUCGCUCACCUUUUCCACUUCUGUUCCGAAAUUAUCGGAGAACACAUGGGAUUGAGAUUAAAAUGAAAUACACGUGGACGAAGUUUAUUGCUGGUCUCACAAUCAACGAUACUCAAUUCUUUCAAAAUAAUGAUUACAUAAUCGUAGUGAUAUAUCUUAUUCCCCGUCAAAUAUUUUACGAAUAUUUCAGUCAUAGUAUCAUAGUAAUAAUUUAUCAUAUUGGUAACAUUUAGCAACGCGUUCUUACGUAUGUAACAGCAGCUGAAAUAUUCUUUACUCUUACAUUAUCGGACAUUCUCCUCGUUGCUUAAUUGCACGUAUCCAAACGAAACUUACUUCCUUCGUCUGUUCGCAACAAUCUUUUGCCCACUCCUAUGACUGUUCCACGUCAACGUUCUACAGCAAUAAAACCCACUAAACGUAUACACAAGCCGAUCAUAACCGUUCAAAGGGUGAAGCCCAUAUGUAAUUCCAAAAAUUCUUCCAGUCAGUCCUCGUUAAUAUCACACAUACUUGACGCAAUCUUCGACGUUGGAUCUAGGCUAGAUUUAAUCCCAGAGCAGCGUUCCUCUCACGGGUAUUAAAACGCAUAUAAUGGGCGUCCUGUAUUAAAGUGAACUGACGCGUGACUAAAGCGCCGCGACGUCUAAGCGACCAGGUGUAUCGGAGGAAAUUCCGAUGACUCGUAUACUAGGAUUCAUUAAGCAUUAAAACAUUAUCCGAACGAAGGCGAAAGUAGCCAAUUUCAUGGUGCAGUGAACUCGAUAAAGACACGGAAUGCGUGUCCGCUAUGGCCGCGAAAAGCAAGACGACGUAAAUACGUCGGCAUACGUAGCUAUGUACAUUUCAACCUGACUUUUUUUACCACGCUCCCUCGUUUUAUAGAGCGGCAUGUUGCGGAAAGUUGUAACUUUUAUUACAUUUCGUACACACAUGUAUUAUAUGUAUGUCUAUCUAUGUAUUCCAUUAACGUUUCAGAGCCUGCUUUUCUUAUGUCGCGUUCGACACACGUUCGACAAUUAUGUCUCAUAAAUGGCGCAGAGACGUUUGGCAGUGAUAGAAGAAGUAGAAAAACCGGUCGUAUGGGAUCGGGAAUCGUAAAAUCUGCGAUUUAUUCGAUGUAGCUUGAUAAGCAAUAAAUCUGGUGCCGAUUA